rnacentral:rRNA from 2 species
GGACGAACGCUGGCGGCGUGCCUAAUACAUGCAAGUCGAGCGGACCUUUUAAAAGCUUGCUUUUGAAAGGUCAGCGGCGGACGGGUGAGUAACACGUGGGCAACCUGCCUGUAAGACUGGGAUAACUUCGGGAAACCGGAGCUAAUACCGGAUAAUAUAAGGAACCUCCUGGUUCUUUAUUGAAAGAUGGUUUCGGCUAUCACUUACAGAUGGGCCCGCGGCGCAUUAGCUAGUUGGUGAGGUAACGGCUCACCAAGGCGACGAUGCGUAGCCGACCUGAGAGGGUGAUCGGCCACACUGGGACUGAGACACGGCCCAGACUCCUACGGGAGGCAGCAGUAGGGAAUCUUCCACAAUGGACGAAAGUCUGAUGGAGCAACGCCGCGUGAGCGAUGAAGGCCUUCGGGUCGUAAAGCUCUGUUGUUAGGGAAGAACAAGUGCGAGAGUAACUGCUCGCACCUUGACGGUACCUAACCAGAAAGCCACGGCUAACUACGUGCCAGCAGCCGCGGUAAUACGUAGGUGGCAAGCGUUGUCCGGAAUUAUUGGGCGUAAAGCGCGCGCAGGUGGUCCUUUAAGUCUGAUGUGAAAGCCCACGGCUCAACCGUGGAGGGUCAUUGGAAACUGGGGGACUUGAGUGCAGAAGAGGAAAGUGGAAUUCCAAGUGUAGCGGUGAAAUGCGUAGAGAUUUGGAGGAACACCAGUGGCGAAGGCGACUUUCUGGUCUGUAACUGACACUGAGGCGCGAAAGCGUGGGGAGCAAACAGGAUUAGAUACCCUGGUAGUCCACGCCGUAAACGAUGAGUGCUAAGUGUUAGAGGGUUUCCGCCCUUUAGUGCUGCAGCUAACGCAUUAAGCACUCCGCCUGGGGAGUACGGUCGCAAGACUGAAACUCAAAGGAAUUGACGGGGGCCCGCACAAGCGGUGGAGCAUGUGGUUUAAUUCGAGGCAACGCGAAGAACCUUACCAGGUCUUGACAUCCUCUGACACUCCUAGAGAUAGGACGUUCCCCUUCGGGGGACAGAGUGACAGGUGGUGCAUGGUUGUCGUCAGCUCGUGUCGUGAGAUGUUGGGUUAAGUCCCGCAACGAGCGCAACCCUUGAUCUUAGUUGCCAGCAUUCAGUUGGGCACUCUAAGGUGACUGCCGGUGACAAACCGGAGGAAGGUGGGGAUGACGUCAAAUCAUCAUGCCCCUUAUGACCUGGGCUACACACGUGCUACAAUGGACGGUACAAAGGGCAGCAAAACCGCGAGGUCGAGCCAAUCCCAUAAAACCGUUCUCAGUUCGGAUUGCAGGCUGCAACUCGCCUGCAUGAAGCCGGAAUCGCUAGUAAUCGCGGAUCAGCAUGCCGCGGUGAAUACGUUCC